rnacentral:tRNA from 1 species
GAGGGUAGAGCUCAGUGGUAGAGUGCGUGCUUAGCAUGCAUGAGGUCCUGGGUUCAAUCCCCAGCACCUCCA